ensembl:snoRNA SNORA71 Small nucleolar RNA SNORA71
ACCUGCAUUCGAAAGUGAUCAAGGUCUGGUGCGUGGCCUGGUCAUUGAUAGUGCAGGGAGAGGAAUUCUGAAAGCGUUUCCCGUGUUUGGUGGGUUUGCUCCUGUCCCUCCCAAACCCUGUAGCAUUCAGACA